rnacentral:rRNA from 1 species
CGGAGGAUCCAAGCGUUAUCCGGAUUUACUGGGCGUAAAGAGUUGCGUAGGUGGCUAAAUAAGUGAAUAGUGAAAUCUGAUGGCUCAACCAUCAACACAUUAUUCAAACUGUUUAGCUCGAGAAUGAGAGAGGUCACUGGAAUUCCUUGUGUAGGAGUGAAAUCCGUAGAUAUAGGGAGGAACACCAAUGGCGUAGGCAGGUGACUGGCUCAUUUCUGACACUGAGGCACGAAAGCGUGGGGAGCGAACGGGA